rnacentral:lncRNA from 1 species
CUUAUCUCCAACUUUGAUGAAAGAAGCAAAAUAAACUUGUAUCAACUUUUUUACAUGUUGAGCUUCCUCAGUUGCCUAGCACGAAAAGUUCUUAAAUUAGUUAAAUAUAAACUUCAUAUCCAAGAAUAUUAGUUUAUAUAUAUAUAUAUAUAUUCUCAAGUUUUAAUAAGUUCAAGUUUCAAUUCAAGUUCAUAUAUAAUUUCUAAACUUAAUUAGUUAUAUAUUCAAGCUAAUUAGUUCCAAGUUCAAGUUAUAAUUUCAAGUUCAUAUUCCUAAUUAAGUUCAAUUUAUAGUAAAUUCAAGUUAUAAUUAAUUAUAAGUUCUAAUUAAGUUGUAAUUCAAAUCCCUAAAAUUCUAAAUUCAAACUAGCUAGCUAGUGUCCCAACUUCAAACUAUUAAAUUAGUCCUAAAAUAUCAAAUAUAAUUCAAACUAUUAGUCCUAAAUUCCAAAUUCAAAUUAGUCUUAAAAUCACAAAUUGAAACUAACUCAAAUCCCAGCUAUGGAACUCAUGAGCAAUACGGUAAACCUCCUUCCUAUGGUAUGCAUCCACAGGCUUCGCAACCUUAUAGCCAUCCCAGGGCUAAUCAACCUGGAGAAGUGUCAUAUCAGGGUCCAGCUCCAUCAACCCAAGGGUAUGGUGCUAGUAUGCUGCAUCAACAGCAAUAUCCCUAUGCAUCCAGUGGGCAAGUGCAACAAACUUACCCUACAUAUGGAUCUUCCACUGCUGCUGAUGGAUAUAAUCAUCCACAAGGUGCCCCAGCUUCUGCUCCUGGGUAUCCUCAGCAAAGUGCCCAGCCUGUUCCUGGAUAUGGUCAGCCUGUGCCACAACAACCUCUUGCUUAUGCUCAAGCAGCCCCUGUUGGAGGUUACAGUUCCUACCCUUCACAGCCCACUUACACUGAACAGCAGGCCACAAACAAUGCAGGUUAUGGUUAUCAGGGACCAGUUGAUCAAACUUACAGUGGUGCUCAGGCUUCAACAACUUAUAGUGCACCAUUUUCUGGACAGCAAGCUUAUGCUCAACCAGCUCCAGUCCCUUCUUAAGUCCCAGCUCAGCCUGGUUAUGAUCAAUCCAUGACUCAACCAGGUGGUGGUUAUGCGCCUGUACCUGCUGCUGGUGGUUAUGUUAAGAGUGUUUCACCCCAG